rnacentral:tRNA from 1 species
AUUGAUUGAAGCCAAAGAUUAGAGGCAUAUCACUGUUAAUGAUAAUAUUGAAUUUAAUUCCUUUCAA